UGAAGGGAGUGUGUAGAGAAAUUAGUAAACCCUUAAUAUAAAAGGAAAUUUAGAGAGAGAGAAUUCAUUUUUCAAAACCUAGAGAGAAGGAAGAACUUGGGAGAAGAAGAGAAAGAAAAGCUAAAGUGUUAGAAGAUUAGAAGAGGAAGGACAACAGAAAUUAGAAUUUGAGAUCCGCAGGUAUAGAGCAAGAAUAGCUUUUGGUGAGCUUUAGCAAGGAUAAUGGAUCAUAUUCCAUUAGAUUCAAACGUAGGACCUUCUGCUUAGUAUUAAUCUAGUCAUUUGAUACUUGUAACACCUAGUAGGGUGUAACUUAGUUGAUGUUUUGAACUUUAAAAAAAUUUGAAUUAUGUAUGACUUGGUAAUGUAAUAGCUAUGACUAUAACGACCCGAAUUUAUUAUUUGCUA